rnacentral:rRNA from 1 species
GAGACAGCAGCCGCCGCGGUAAUACAGAGGGUGCGAGCGUUAAUCGGAUUUACUGGGCGUAAAGCGUGCGUAGGCGGCUAAUUGAGUCGGAUGUGAAAUCCCCGAGCUUAACUUGGGAAUUGCAUUCGAUACUGGUUAGCUAGAGUGUGGGAGAGGAUGGUAGAAUUCCAGGUGUAGCGGUGAAAUGCGUAGAGAUCUGGAGGAAUACCGAUGGCGAAGGCAGCCAUCUGGCCUAAUACUGACGCUGAGGUACGAAAGCAUGGGGAGCAAACAGGAUUAGAUACCCCAGUAGUCCCUGUCUCUUAUAC